GGAGCCUGAGAAACGGCUACCACUUCCAAGGAAGGCAGCAGGCACGCAAAUUACCCAAUCCCGGAACGGGGAGGUAGUGACGAAAAAUACGGAUACGGGACUCACAUGAGGCUCCGUAAUUCGAAUGAGUACAAUUUAAAUCCUUUAACGAGGAUCAACUGGAGGGCAAGUCUGGUGCCAGCAGCCGCGGUAACUCCAGCUCCAGAAGCGUAUAUUAAAGUUGUUGCAGUUAAAAAGCUCGUAGUUGGAUCUGGGUUGCAUGGCUACAUGCCGUCGCUCGUGUGUUCGUUGCGGUUACUGCCGUGGCGGUCAUAUGAGUCGGUCUCGUGGUUGUGCUUCCUUUCUGCUGUGUCUGUUUACAGGUGUCAGCGUGGCUGGUGGGCUCGCCUGCCGGUCUGUUGGCAUGCUUCUUGAUGCUCUUAACCGGGUGUCGGAGGCGGACAGCACGUUUACUUUGAACAAAUCUGAGUGCUCAAAGCAGGCCUUUGUGCCUGAAAGUUCUUGCAUGGAAUAAUGGAAUAGGACUUCGGUUCUAUUUUGUUGGUUUUCGGAUCCGAAGUAAUGGUUAAGAGGGACAGACGGGGGC
rnacentral:rRNA from 1 species